GGAAAAUAAACUAACAAGGAUUCCCCUAGUAACGGCGAGCGAAGCGGGAAGAGCUCAAAUUUGAAAGCUGGCACCUCCGGUGUCCGCGUUGUAAUUUCGAGACGUGUUUUCCGCGUGGCGCCAUGGACAAGUUCCCUGGAAUGGGACAUCGUAGAGGGUGAAAAUCCCGUACUUGCCAUGGACGUACCAUGCUUUGCGAUACACGCUCCAAGAGUCGAGUAGUUUGGGAUUGCUGCUCAAAAUGGGUGGUAGACUCCAUCUAAAGCUAAAUAUCGGGGAGAGACCGAUAGCGAACAAGUACCGUGAGGGAAAGAUGAAAAGCACUUUGGAAAGAGAGUUAAAAGUACGUGAAAUUGUCGAAAUGGAAGCGCUUGAAGUCAGCCAUGCGGCUGGGGACUCACCUUGGCGUCUCGCUGAGGGUACUUUCCCAGUAGCAAGUCAGCAUUGGUUUGCGGCGCCGGAGAAGGGUCUAGGGAAGGUGGCACCCUCGGGUGUGUUAUAGCCCUGGACUGGAUACGGCGCGGCGGACCAAGGAACGCAGUGUGCCCUUGUGGCGGGUCUUCGGACACCUUCACACUUAGGAUGCUGGCGUAAUGGCUUUAAGCGGCCCGUC
rnacentral:rRNA from 1 species